rnacentral:rRNA from 1 species
UGCAUGUGUAAGUACCGGCCUGACUAAGGCGAAACCGCGAAUGGCUCAUUAAAUCAGUUAUGGUUCAUUGGAUCUCACACUUUGUCCUACUUGGAUAACUGUGGCAAUUCUAGAGCUAAUACAUGCACCUGAGCCCCGACCGGGCGGCAUGCUAUGGCCCUAACCGACCUCGUGAGAGAGCGGCGGGUGUGGUGUGUGCAGCUCGGCGGGGGCGCUUUUAUUAGAUCAAGACCAAUCGGGCCUCGGUCCGUGCUGUGUCUGUGAUGACUCUGGAUAACUUUGGGCUGAGCGCAUGGCCUUUGCGCCGGCGCCGCGUCCUUCGAGUGUCUGCCUUAUCAGCUUUCGACGGUAGGCUAUGCGCCAACCGUGGCGAUCACGGGUGACGGGGAAUCAGGGUUCGAUUCCGGAGAGGGAGCCUGAGAGACGGCUACCACAUCUAAGGAAGGCAGCAGGCACGCAAAUUACCCACUCCCGGCUCGGGGAGGUAGUGACGAAAAAUAACGAUGCGGGACUCUUCCGAGGCCCCGCAAUCGGAAUGGGCGCAGCCUAAAGCCCUGCGCGAGGAUCGAUUGGAGGGCAAGUCUGGUGCCAGCAGCCGCGGUAAUUCCAGCUCCAAUAGCGUAUACUAAAGUUGCUGCGGUUAAAAAGCUCGUAGUCGGCCCUGAGCGGCGGUGCAGCGGCCCGCCGCCUGCGUGCGGCGUUGGCCUGGCUGUUGUCCGUCCCGCGUGUGGGGGUGGUGGCCGCUUGUCGGUCGCCAUCCUGCAGCCCGGAGGUCGACCCGGCCGGGGUGCCCUUCGCCGGGUGCCCCGAUAGCCGCCCGGUCGACGAGUUUACUUUGAAAAAAUUAGAGUGCUCAGUGCAGGCGCGUAUUGGCCGGAAGCCGGCAGUCGCCCGUAUGUCGUACAGCAUGGAAUAAUGGAACAGGACCUCGGUUCUAUGUGUUUCGUUGGUCUUGUGGAGCCCGAGGUGAUGAGCGAUGGGAACGGUGCGGGGGCAUUCGUAUUGCGACGCUAGAGGUGAAAUUCUUGGACCGUCGCACGACGACCGACCGCGAAAGCAUCUGCCAAGUACGCUUUCAUCGAUCAAGAACGAAAGUUAGAGGUUCGAAGGCGAUCAGAUACCGCCCUAGUUCUAACCAUAAACGAUGCCGACCAGCGAUCCGCCGGCGUUAUUCCCAUGACUCGGCGGGCAGCUCCCGCGGGAAACCACGAGUGUUCGGGUUCCGGGGGAAGUAUGGUUGCAAAGCUGAAACUUAAAGGAAUUGACGGAAGGGCACCACCAGGAGUGGAGCCUGCGGCUUAAUUUGACUCAACACGGGACACCUCACCGGGCCCGGACACCGGUAGGAUUGACAGAUUGAGAGCUCUUUCUCGAUUCGGUGGGUGGUGGUGCAUGGCCGUUCUUAGUUGGUGGAGCGAUUUGUCUGGUUAAUUCCGAUAACGAACGAGACUCAGACCUGCUAACUAGCCGACAGGUCGGGAUUGCCGUGGGGCGCGUGUUACCCGAGCGGUGUUGGCGUUGGCUGUUGUGGCUGUGCGUUGGUUGUAGUCGUUGUGGAGUGUUGUGGCGUUUACGUCCUGCGCUCUGUGGCGGCGGCAGCGGCGGCGUCAGUUGCGGCAGUGGCGGUGGCAUUGAGCGGGGCCGCGCCUGCGGUCGGUCGCCUGUCGCGUCUUCUUAGAGGGAUCAGCGGCGUACAGCCGCGCGAGAUUGAGCAAUAACAGGUCUGUGAUGCCCUUAGAUGUUCCGGGCCGCACGCGCGCUACACUGCGGGGCUCAACGUGCUUCGGCCUGGCCCGAGAGGGCCGGGUAACCCGUGGAAACCCCCGCGUGAUUGGGAUUGGGGCUUGCCAUUGUUCCCCAUGAACGAGGAAUUCCCAGUAGGUGCGAGUCAUCAGCUCGCGCCGAUUACGUCCCUGCCCUUUGUACACACCGCCCGUCGCUACUACCGAUUGAACGAUUUAGUGAGGCCUUCGGACCAGCGCCCGUGGUUGGUAGUGUGGCAUGUGUGUGUGAACGCAUGUGUGCACUGUCGCUGCAGGCUGCCGGGAAGAUGUCCGAACUUGAUCGUUU